AGCAAAGCCAGAGUUUAAGCUGACUGGGAGAGGCAAGUGAGAAAGGAAAAGUAGGUGAUAAGGUGGAAAAAUGUAGGCAGGGGCCUUGUAAGCCAGGCUCAAGACUUUGUACUUUGUCCUUCGGGCAAUGCAGGGUUCUGAAAGGACAGACAUACAUUUUUCUAAGAUGAUCCUGAGAGUAGCAUGAAGAAUGAACUACAAGAGGUACGAAGCUGGGAGACCAGUUAAGAGGACCAAGCCAAAGGAGGAUAAACUAAGGCCCAAAGAGGUUGACCACUGGUUGUCUGAAGUCACAACAGAAAUGACAGCACUGCUAGUUGUGAAGUCCAGGCACCAAACUCUCAGCACAAAACUCUUUCCUGCUCUUUCCCUUCUAGCUCCAUGUACCAGUCUUAUUUGGUCACUGCACUGCAGAGGGCAUGUUACCACAUAAUUAGUUUCAGG
rnacentral:lncRNA from 10 species